UGUAAUUAAUGACAGUUCUUAUUUAAAAUUGAGCUCUCCUGGAUGCAAUUUUUUUUUUAAACAUGCAUUUAUUUUGCAUGAAGGACUUUAGAGAAUCAAAUAAAUGGGCACAGCCUUUUCACAGUUUGUUCAUAGUAAUUUCCUUUUCUUCUACAAUAUCAAACAAGUAUGUUUACUUUAACUGAGCCCAUUCUGAAGUUGAAGGCUUUUAUAUCUCAUUGAAAAAGGCAAGAAAUCUCAGAUAUCCAAAGAAGCCUUAAUCUAGGAGGCAGCUGUUGUAGAUCAGGGUUCCAGAGCUAUAUUAAAUAUUAUCCUACACUUAGGCCAUCUUGUAAUAAUCUCAGAUAAUUUCACUCCAAAUACUGGAGACUAUGCAGUUUAUCUAAAUCACUGACUUAUUUUUUUCUAGCUGCAGCCCUAUAAAAGGUGAGUCUACGACUUAAAUUGACCUUUGUAAGGACAGAGAAGUAGAGGUAAUUGGAUUGGUCAGCAACUCUAGGUCUUAGUGAUAGUAGGUAGCUGCAAUAGAUGUUUAAUAUAAAAUGAUCUAGAGACCAUCUGUGUACCUGUUGCCACCACACACUCUACAAAAGCCUGUCGAAAAGGCUGAGAGUUAUAAACUGUUGUUGUAAGAAAGAUGAAGCAUUGCAUAUGUCUUGGGAUCCUGUGGUAACACAAUCUUUGUUCAGUAGUUUCUGCUUCAUCUGUAGAAGCAUAUAUAUAUAGUGUGUAUACUUGCUACAGGCAAAAACCCCCAACAGGACUUGGCUUUCUGAUCCUAAUCCAGGGGAGUUGUUUUAAGUGAGCAUGUGAGCAAGGUGAAACAGGCUGUCCUUGAGAGCUUUUAAUACUUUGAGGAGCACCAGCACAGCCCCCAACUUGUGUAUUUCUUCUUGUGCUUUCCAUCCUAAUACUUGCUAAUGACGAGACAGGAUAUAAAACACAUAAAAACAGAUGAUCAAGCUGCAGAAUGACCAAGAACGCUUGUUUACAUUCUACAUCUGCCAAGAGGAAAUAAACUCUUGGUCUUCUAUGCUAGGAAUGCAGCUUGAAAGGCAAUGUUACUUUCACAUAGUCUCCCUGAUACAUCCUUGAUACUGCAUUUUAUGCAACUUUUCCUAACUAUAUUUAUUGUGAGAAGAUCCUGGGAUGGGAGGAGACAGCCAAUUAGAAGAGCUAGUUAGCUGGAAUGCUGAGAACCAUUGCUUUGGAGGCCUCCCAUCACACGGCACCAUCAAACGCACUUUGCUGAGUAAAGGACAACUUGUUUCUUUUGGCCAUGGCUCGUGUGAGCAGAGAUAGCGAAGAGCCAGGGAAUCCAACUGGAUAAAGAACAUCUGCAAAUGAUGUUCUGUUAAUGCAUAUUCUAUCCAAAGAAGCCUUGAUACUUGGUCUCAACUCUGGUCUUGGCCACACAUGCUGCGUUGUCAGGUUCAUUCAGAGUCAGCUUUUAUUUCCUGUAAAUAAAGGGGGUGCAAAGUCUGUUUUGUGCUAAUCCACAAUAAUGGUGUGAACUACUUAGCAAAAAAAACCUCACCAAUUCUUAGGUAUGUGGAAAUCCAUUAUUGAACUAACAUUAAAAAUUGUGGAUUUAGAAGCUUAGUCAAGUCUCUUAUUGACUGUUUUUUUCUAUGUUUUCUUUUACUUUAGUAACUAAAGAAGAUGGACUAAUGAGUGUGAGAAACUGAUGAUGUCACUAGCGGGGAGAGAAGACGGGCCAUUCUCCACACCUGUUUAACUAGACUUUGAGAAGAAAAUUUCUAUAUCUGACUUUCUAAGUACUUCUGACAGCUCUUAUCUCCUGGCUGAACCUUUCCUAUAGUUGUGAUCAAUGCUGUUCUAGUGAAGAGUGGUGAGGACUCUACAACAACACUUACAGAGAAGCCAAGAUCUUUGAGGACAGAAAUGCUAUUGUUAUUUACUGUGCUCAGCUGAGGACUGAAUCCUGGCAAAUGUCUCUGGUGGCUUGCUGUCAGGAAAGCCUUGGGAGGUCCUCGGGGCCCUUCUGCAGCACUGCACAUGAAAGAGCAGCAUUGUUUCACAUCUUAGAUGAGCAGCACAGUCAAGGUCCUGCAAGUGAUGACUUCUGAAGUUUAACCUGAUUUGUUGUAUGGGUAAGCCUAUUGUUUGCAGUCAAGUACUAAAACAAUCAGUGGAAGUAGCCAGUCUCCCUAACGGAUGUUAUUAGAGAAUUAAUGGAUUAUUAAAGGAGCAGCAUGUUUGUCCUCAGUUUCACCAAAAACAAACUCUUGCUGACAUCUUUUUUUAUUCAAUAAAAGUCAUUGUUACAGGCAAGUCCAAGAUUUAGAGUGAAGAUUGCAGAUUUUUUAAGUAAAAAAAAAAAUAAAAAAAUUAAAUGUGCAUAAUUAGCAACAUCUGCAAAGAGAGAACUUAUAGUAUAUUUAUU